AGCGAUGGGAUGCGAAUCUCGAAAGCCUGUCUCAGUUCGGAUUGGAGGCUGAAACCCGCCUCCAUGAAGUUGGAUUCGCUAGUAAUCGCGCAUCAGCCAUGGCGCGGUGAAUACGUUCCCGGGCCUUGUACACACCGCCCGUCAAGCCAUGGGAGUCGGGAGUGCCUGAAGUGCGUGAGCGCGAGCAGCGCCCUAGGGCAAAACCGAUGACUGGGGCUAAGUCGUAACAAGGUAUC
rnacentral:rRNA from 1 species